UCCCCAGUAGCUCAGCGGUAGAGCACCCGGCUGUUAACUGGAGCGUCGUAGAUUCGAAUUCUACCUGGGGAG
rnacentral:tRNA from 4 species